UACGUAGGGGACUAGCGUUGUCCGGAUUUAUUGGGCGUAAAGAGCUCGUAGGCGGUUUGUCGCGUCUGCUGUGAAAACCUAAGGCUCAACCUUGGGCUUGCAGUGGGUACGGGCAGACUAGAGUGCGGUAGGGGUGACUGGAAUUCCUGGUGUAGCGGUGGAAUGCGCAGAUAUCAGGAAGAACACCUAUGGCGAAGGCAGCUCUCUGGGACGGUACUGACGCUGAGACGCGAAAGCGUGGGGAGCGAACAGG
rnacentral:rRNA from 1 species